GGUUGGAAUUAAAUCUCGAUCUACCAUCAGCACAAGCCACUUCCUGAUCAAGCACAGCGCAGGCCUCUAUAGAACAAGAUGAGCUUUCACAGAGACUGGCAAAUCUACGACAGUUGUAGAACAAGAUUGUUGACAAGAGCCGUGAGAGAGAGCCGUAAACUGUGAUUACAAAGGCUUCAAAUUAGACAUACAUGUACACCAUAUUAAAGCAUUCGUUCUAAAUACUGGCUCAUCAUAGCUUAUUUCAAUUUUUCUUCAUAAGAAACCCUUAAAGGAGCACUGUUUGUAAAACCAAAAUAAAUUCCUCCAAAUAAGGAAGAACUUGGUUUGUGCGAUUGAGAAUAGUUAUAAGUGUUUUAAUUUGCUCGGUUAAUAACUUCUUCCUAGUACAUGUUUAGUGCGAUAAUAAGACAUUGUAUGUGCAUACAGUAAAACUUGGUUAUAACGAAGUCACUGGGACCUAUGAAAUAUUUCUUCGCUAUAUUCGUAAUUCGUUAUAUAUCCGAAUAAGAAUAAAGAAUUCCUUAAAUUUAUAUAGCUGAGGAUCAAAGAUAACUUUGCUCUAUCCGUAAAUUUGCAAUACCCUUGUUCGUACUAAACGAGUUUUACUGAUUCAGAAAUUACAUAUUUGCCCACCAAGCUAUUCAUUCAAUGUCAAGCAGAUUUUAACCGCAGGAUACAGUAAAUGACUUGGUACUAGGUAAAAUUAAUGUGUAUCAAAGAAAGUUUCCAUAACCUUUUCUGUGGUUAUUUUCAUGAAAGGCAAUUAACUUACUUCUGGUUUUUUUAUUUCUGUAUAUAUAUUGAAUUAUGUUUUGUGUAGAACAAUUUACUGUUGUAGUAUUUUGUGAAUUUUAUGUUUGUUUGAAAUGUAGACUUAUUCAUUCAGGUUUAUUUAAAGAGAUGAACAUUAUUAAUGAUAUUGU